GACGAACGCUGGCGGCGUGCUUAACACAUGCAAGUCGAACGGAAAGGCCCUGCUUGCAGGGUGCUCGAGUGGCGAACGGGUGAGUAACACGUGGGUGAUCUGCCCCUUACUUUGGGAUAAGCCUGGGAAACUGGGUCUAAUACUGGAUAGGACCAUGCUGUAGGUGGUGUGGUGGAGAGAUUAGUUUCGGUAAGGGAUGAGCUCGCGGCCUAUCAGCUUGUUGGUGGGGUAAUGGCCUACCAAGGCGUCGACGGGUAGCCGGCCUGAGAGGGUGGACGGCCACAUUGGGACUGAGAAACGGUCCAGACUCCUACGGGAGGCAGCAGUGGGGAAUAUUGCACAAUGGGCGCAAGCCUGAUGGAGCGACAGCGCGUGGGGGAUGACGGCCUUCGGGUUGUAAACGCCUUUCAGCCAUGACGAAGCCCUUGUGGUGACGGUAGUGGUAUAAGAAGCACCGGCUAACUACGUG
rnacentral:rRNA from 1 species